rnacentral:rRNA from 1 species
GGUGGCGGAUGGGCAUGCGUCGCAUUAGUUAGUUGGCGGUGUAACGGACCACCAAGACGACGAUGCGUAGGGGUUCUGAGAGGAAGGUCCCCCACACUGGUACUGAGACACGGACCAGACUCCUACGGGAGGCAGCAGUGAGGAAUAUUGGUCAAUGGGCGGGAGCCUGAACCAGCCAAGUCGCGUGAGGGAUGACGGCCCUAUGGGUUGUAAACCUCUUUUGCCGGGGAGCAAAGUGCCGCACGUGUGCGGUUUGGAGAGUACCCGGAGAAAAAGCAUCGGCUAACUCCGUGCCAGCAGCCGCGGUAAUACGGAGGAUGCGAGCGUUAUCCGGAUUUAUUGGGUUUAAAGGGUGCGUAGGCGGACGCUUAAGUCAGCGGUAAAAUUGCGGGGCUCAACCUCGUCGAGCCGUUGAAACUGGGUGCCUUGAGUGGGCGAGAAGUACGCGGAAUGCGUGGUGUAGCGGUGAAAUGCAUAGAUAUCACGCAGAACUCCGAUUGCGAAGGCAGCGUACCGGCGCCCAACUGACGCUGAAGCACGAAGGCGUGGGUAUCGAACAGGAUUAGAUACCCUGGUAGUCCACGCAGUAAACGAUGAAUGCUAGUUGUCCGGGGCGAUUGAGUUCUG